UUUCUCUUCUCUACCUUUCAACAUGUUCGAUUUGUUGAGACGUUAACGUCUUUUGUUGGUGAUCAGUAGGAUUUGGACUUGCAUGGGGAGAGACAUCUUGCUGCAUGGAACUUAUAAUGACUUCCAUAUUGUAUUCCCAGUUAAAUAAUCUAUUCUGUAUAUUCUCAUUAUGUUCGUCAAUGCAUGACCUCAAGGAACAUAAACUGGUAUCAACAUAACACCGCAUGUGCUCUUGUUGCUAUUAGAAUAAUUCUUCUCGUCUUUGCAGAACUACCUGAUAAUGGGCUUCUUAUAUUUGCGAUUCUUGGGCCAUAUGACUGUGAAACAAACUAGAUAGAGAAUUAUCCAUGUACGAAUGUAUACCAUGUUGCAUAUAAUCUUGCAACGGUUUGUUCCGUUGUUCGAACAGUAGCUUUUAAUUUUCAAGGAUCGCAUGGUUUUGGGCUCUUGAUUCUUCAACAAAGUCCGCCUUCAAGUUGCCACAUAGAUUGGACACAUCUGAUAUCGUAUGUUG
rnacentral:lncRNA from 1 species